GUAAUGGGUGGGCCUCGAAUCCUGGGCGGAGGAUUCAGUCGGAGGGCGGUCGCCCCGUCGAAAAAUCGGGCAGGGUUCCCGAGACGGGGCGUCCGACCGAGAGUUUCCGUCGAGCCAGACGCAUUUGUCUCCCGCUUGAAGGACGCCGCAGCCUGUUUGGCAGUGCAAACGUGACGGCCUGGAAGGCGGGCGACGGCAGGUGGCCGGUGGCGGGCCCAGUGCACGCUAUCGGUUGUUAGCCGGCCCGUCGGUGGCACGUCGCCAGACAGAGGUAUCGAGAUGCCCCCAGGGGCGUUGACAUCUCCCCUCCACAGAGGGCGGGACAGAACGUCGCGAGCGAAGGCAGCCGCGCGGCCGCACUCCGUCGGAGUGGGCCAGCGUCUAGUCGUUGCCGGCGGGGACGUCGGUUUUGUAGGAGGUCGGAGGUUAGCGGCGAGUAGGUCGGUCACCCACCCGACCCGUCUUGAAACACGGACCAAGGAGUUUAACAUGUGCGCGAGUCAAUGGGUCUUGAAUAAGCCCAGAGGCGCAAUGAAAGCGAAGGUCGGCUCAACGUCGACCGAGUCGGGAUCCCGCCUCCCCGUGGGGCGGGCGCACCGACGACCCGUCCUUUGCGGCUUGCCGCUUGGGCGGAGUGAGAGCGUACACGUUGGGACCCGAAAGAUGGUGAACUAUGCCCGGACAGGAUGAAACCAGAGGAAA
rnacentral:rRNA from 1 species